UCGGGAAUUUUGGGCAAUGGGGGAAACCCUGACCCAGCAACGCCGCGUGAAGGAUGAAGUAUUUCGGUAUGUAAACUUCGAAAGAAUAGGAAGAAUAAAUGACGGUACUAUUUAUAAGGUCCGGCUAACUACGUGCCAGCAGCCGCGGUAAUACGUAGGGACCAAGCGUUGUUCGGAUUUACUGGGCGUAAAGGGCGCGUAGGCGGCAUGACAAGUCACUUGUGAAAUCUCUGGGCUUAACCCAGAACGGCCAAGUGAUACUGUCGCGCUAGAGUGCAGAAGGGGCAAUCGGAAUUCUUGGUGUAGCGGUGAAAUGCGUAGAUAUCAAGAGGAACACCUGAGGCGAAGGCGGGUUGCUAGGCUGAUACUGACGCUGAGGCGCGAAAGCUAGGGUAGCAAACGGGAUUAGAUACCCCCGUAGUCCCUGAGCGGGCUGGCAAGGCGCAU
rnacentral:rRNA from 1 species